UAGGCUGAGGAGCAAAAGGAGAAAGCCGCCCAAGGAGGGGCUCGCGUCUGAUUAGCUAGUUGGUGAGGCAAUAGCUUACCAAGGCGAUGAUCAGUAGCUGGUCCGAGAGGAUGAUCAGCCACACUGGGACUGAGACACGGCCCAGACUCCUACGGGAGGCAGCAGUCGGGAAUUUUCCGCAAUGGGCGAAAGCCUGACGGAGCAAUGCCGCGUGGAGGUGGAAGGCCUACGGGUCGUCAACUUCUUUUCUCGGAGAAGAAACAAUGACGGUAUCUGAGGAAUAAGCAUCGGCUAACUCUGUGCCAGCAGCCGCGGUAAGAC
rnacentral:ncRNA from 1 species